AAUAAACUGCCACCGGGUAGGAAUGCAAAAAGCAUUCAUCUGUACAUCGAUAGGUCUUUGAAGAUGUGCAAAUGAAUGCUUUUUUACA
rnacentral:ncRNA from 1 species